GACGAACGCUGGCGGCGUGCCUAAUACAUGCAAGUUGAGCGCUGAAGGUUGGUACUUGUACCAACUGGAUGAGCAGCAAACGGGUGAGUAACGCGUGGGGAAUCUGCCUUUGAGCGGGGGACAACAUUUGGAAACGAAUGCUAAUACCGCAUAAAAACUUUAAACACAAGUUUUAAGUUUGAAAGAUGCAAUUGCAUCACUCAAAGAUGAUCCCGCGUUGUAUUAGCUAGUUGGUGAGGUAAAGGCUCACCAAGGCGAUGAUACAUAGCCGACCUGAGAGGGUGAUCGGCCACAUUGGGACUGAGACACGGCCCAAACUCCUACGGGAGGCAGCAGUAGGGAAUCUUCGGCAAUAGACGAAAGUCUGACCGAGCAACGCCGCGUGAGUGGAGAAGGUUUUCGGAUCGUAAAACUCUGUUGGUAGAGAAGAACGUUGGUGAGAGUGGAAAGCUCAUCAAGUGACGGUAACUACCCAGAAAGGGACGGCUAACUACGUG
rnacentral:rRNA from 1 species